rnacentral:rRNA from 1 species
GACGAACGCUGGCGGCGUGCUUAACACAUGCAAGUCGAACGAAGUGGCGAACGGGUGAGUCACGCGUAAUCAACCUGCCCUUCAGAGGUGGACAACAGUUGGAAACGACUGCUAAUACCGCAUACUGCAUGAGGGGAUUGCGUCUGAUUAGCUAGUUGGGGGGUAACGGCCCACCAAGGCGAGUCUCAGUAGCCGGGCUGAGAGGAUGAACGGCCACAUUGGGACUGAGACACGGCCCAGACUCCUACGGGAGGCAGCAGGGGGGAAUCUUCCGCAAUGGACGAAAGGCUGACGGAGCAACGCCGCGUGAGUGAUGACGGGCUUCGGGUUGUAAAGCUCUGUUAAUCGGGACGCGGUACCGGAAGAGAAAGCCACGGCUAACUACGUGCCAGCAGCCGCGGUAAUAC